rnacentral:rRNA from 1 species
AACGAACGCUGGCGGCAUGCCUAACACAUGCAAGUCGAACGAGACCUUCGGGCUUAGUGGCGCACGGGUGCGUAACGCGUGGGAACCUGCCCUUAGGUUCGGAAUAACUCCCCGAAAGGGGUGCUAAUACCGGUUAAUGUCUUCGGACCAAAGAUUUAUCGCCUUUGGAUGGGCCCGCGUUGGAUUAGCUAGUUGGUAGGGUAAAAGCCUACCAAGGCGACGAUCCAUAGCUGGUCUGAUAGGAUGAUCAGCCACACUGGGACUGAGACACGGCCCAGACUCCUACGGGAGGCAGCAGUGGGGAAUAUUGGACAAUGGGCGAAAGCCUGAUCCAGCAAUGCCGCGUGAGUGAUGAAGGCCUUAGGGUUGUAAAGCUCUUUUACCCGGGAUGAUAAUGACAGUACCGGGAGAAUAAGCUCCGGCUAACUCCGUG